rnacentral:misc_RNA from 1 species
AGUCCCCGAUCAGCUUCGCCAGAACGCAUAGCAAAAGCAGGCCGCUCCCCCAGCAGCACAAGGAACGCCUGGACAAGGCUUGCACCGCGCACCGGCACCGGCCCGGCCCUCGGGCCCAACCUGGCACCCUCCUCCGACCCUCCCAGUGACCAAAACCGCCAUUUCCGUGAAACUCGUUCCGGGGAGCCACCGCCCCCGCUCGCCGGCGUUCCGCGUGUCUGCCACCGAAGCCAUACCACCCCAGUGAGCGGCCACCCACGCACUGCACCACCCGGACGGCGCGGCCCUAGGCCGGCCUGCAAUCAUCGAACUCGAACCCCUCGACCUCUGGAACCUGGAACCCAGAGGAGUUGGCAGCACUGCCGAACAAAGUGACAUUCGACUGAGGAUCCGACGCCCGGAGCACCACCGCCACCCCGUCCCAGGAAGUUGCCAACCCGCGCCAGCAAAAGGGGUGGCGGGGCCAAACCGUAACCAUGACGACGGAGGUGACGUCUGGCUCCGGAGGGGGCCAGGAGCUGCAGAUUAUCUCCAACGACGUGGGCGGGAUCCAAGAUGAAGACCUGCUGCGCAGAAUGUGGCAGCAAACCGAAGACUUCGGCCGCAAGAAAGAGAUUCGCGCCAGGAUGUACAAACUGCGCGAGCAGCGCCUCAAAGACUUCUACACGACCGGCGAGGUGCUGCGGGACCUGCAGACGGUGACGGACGCCGACGGCCACGCGGAGCGGCACCACCAGUCACAGCAGAUCAUCUCCAAGAAGACGGCCUCCUCCUUCUCGUCGAUGAAGGAGGGCGGCGAGAUGAUGCGUUCGCACACCGAGUCCAUCCAGGGUCAGGGCGGCUACACGUCGCUCAAGUCGAAGGAGGUGCGCGACUCGGAGUCCCCGACCCGCGACCUGCACCGCCGCCAGCAGGACUACGCCCUGAGCACCUCCGCGACGACGGGCGGCACCGGCACCUGGAAGGUGGUCCGGGAGUCGUCCUCCGCGGCCUAUGACUCGGCCAACGACCUGGGCGUGGUCACCACCAGCAGCAGGACCGAGAAGGGCGGCACCGUCGCCGUCCCGGCCGGCCAGGCCGCCCUGGUGGCGCCGUCUGGCAUGCAGCUGGUGGACUCCGGCGAGACCGUGAUCCACAACGCGGACGGCAGCAUCACUCGCCGCCAGUCCGCCACGUACAAGACAUCCAGCACCGCCACCAGCAGCAGCAGCCAGCAGCAGCAGCGCGCCGUCAGCUCGUCCACGACCUCCAGCUCCAAGGCCGUCACCACCACCAAGUCGUCGACGACGUCCAGCAGCGACCAGCCUGGAGUCGUCAUCAAGGAGAUCAGCUCCACCUCGUCCGCGGACCAGAAGACGAAGGGCGACGCGACGCAGAGGGUGUCCACCACCACGACGUCCAGCAGCGGCAGCCGAGUGGAGCAGCAGGCAGGCGUGGACCAGCGCAUCAUGACGGAGAUCGGGAAGCUGGACUCGUACUUGUCCACGCAGAACGCGACUGGGUCCACCAACACCCCCGUGAGCCCGCGCAGCGUGUGUUCGGAAGCCCCCGGCGCGGCGCCAGCCGUGCAAGCCAAGAGCGAGUUCGUGUUCGAAUCGAGUUCGUCCACCACGGCGACGUCCGCCGCCACCAAGGAGAGCAACAGACUGAGCAGCACCGCCACGACGGCUACCUCCACCGUGACAGCCACCACCGACCUGGACGCGACGCCGCAGCCAAAGUAUGCCGCCGCGAACGGCGACGUGCAGAAGACGGCGACCACCGUCAUCGAGCAGCGCACGACCACCACACUAGAAAGCGACAAACGAACGAACGACUCGACCAGCCAGCACCAGCGGCCCAGCAGCCAACCCAAGUCGCAGCCGCAGAGGCCGCGCACCGAGGUGGACGCGGACCAGUACGUGACAACUUACGCGUCCUCCUACAACAGCAAGCGCAUCAGCGAGGACCUCAGCCCCACGCACCAGUACUUCGCGAGCGCGCUGCGCGCCAGCCCCGCGCCCAGCUCGGCACGCGCCACACCCACACGCGCCCUCGACUCCCGGGGCUCGGUGGACCGUGAGGCCACCACGUCGUCGCGGCCCUCUUCACGACCGUCGUCACCGAGGAAGAGCAGUCGGGGUGCGACGCCGGACAGUAACAGGGCGUCGCCGUGCAAAGACAAACCGCGAGGACCCUCUCCGACCAAGUCCGUCACGACCAGCUUCGACUCGUCGACCAUCAGGCGCAGCAGCAGCACCAGCAAGGACAAGCGCCGCUUCACGUCCAGCGCGUCUCGCGCCGCCACGAAGAAGCGCUCCGGCACGCCCGGCGCCUCGCCCCGCGCGAGCCCCACCCGGGAGGGCACCAGGCCGCGGUCCAGGUCCCCCACGUCCAGCACGGCGGACGACAGCGACGCCUGCCUCUCGACCGCGGGUCGCCGCCGAAGCAACAGCAAGACGUCCGUGUCGUCGUCGGCCACCUGGACGCACGAACUCGCCCGCAAGUCGUCGUCGGAGACCCUCAAGGGGGGUUCCACGAGCAAGGAGACGUCGCCGGUGCGCGACGUGCCCUCCAAGCCGCAGCCCUCGGCGUCCUUCACGCCGUCCGCCCCGUACAAGCGGGAGAAGUCACCGGAGUACAGCUCCGACGGUUCGCUGGCCAGCGAACUGUUCCAGCGCGCGGAGCGCGGUGAGAAGAAGGACGCCACCAGCCCCGACCGCUUCACCCCCAUCAAGUGCUUCCGGACCAUUCCCGAGGGCGGCGUGCUCGAGCCCAAGAAGGACUCGGAGGUCGUGACCAAGCAGACGGAGACCGCCAUGUUCAUCCGCGAGGAAGCCCGCCGCACCGCGCCGACAGUGUCACCGUCGCGGACCUCACCGCCCCGACGCACACCCACCAGAGAGCCACAGUCGUCCAGCAUCUCGCCUUGCACCAGCCCCGAACGCUCGCCGGUACGCCCCGCCACCGCCCCGCCCUCCAGGCCGGGAGCGGUAGCACAGCGGCCAGCGGGGCCUUCUGCAGCCCCAACCAGGGCAUCCCCGCGUACACCUACUAGCAGCCCGGAGCGCUCGCCUAUUCGCAAACCCGCGGCCGCGGCGCCAGCAUCGCCGUCAAAGAAGCCGACGAGGGUGACCAGCAUCCCCAGGGCGGCGGGCCAGCGGACCCAUCCUGUCGGCAAGCCCACGCAGCGGCCGCGCGACGCGUCCGCGCCCGUCACGCCCUCCAGGAAGGUGCCCGGCCAGAGGCGGUCGUCGUCGUCCAGCCCGGAGCGGCCCAGGUCCACGGCAGGGCGGCCCGCGGGGAAGCGCCCCGUAGACACGCGCACGCCGUCGACAUCCUCCCUGCCCGCCACCAAGAGGCCCUUCGCAGACAAGACCAACGUGCGCACUCCGAACGUGCGCGUCCCUGCACCGAGCCCCAGUCCCGCCAGGCCCGCCGCCAAGCCGGCUCAGCCCUUGCCGUCCAAGUCGGCCUUCGUGAGGACAACCCCGCGACCAGAGGACGCCGACAAGGACAAGCCCAGAGGCCACACGAGGACACCGUCGUCGCACCGGCUGUACGGCGGCAUGUCCCAGGAGGUGUGCGGCGCCUGCCACCUCAAGCUGGGCGCCGAGAAGGACACCGUCCAGUGCACGGCGGAGUGCAAGCGCAAGUUCCACGUGCGAUGCGUGGCGAGCGGUGAGGACAUCAAGCUGGUCAAGCUCAAGAAGAACUGGCGUUGCGUGCGCUGCGGUGGAGACUCCAUCAAGACGACCUCCAGCACAACAAAGAAGACGACCACCAUAACUAAGACGUUGACCAGACGGCGGUCGUCUGACGGGAGUCGCAAGCGCGUCCCCUUUCUCGCCGACUCGGGCGCAGAGAGUGACCGCUCGUCCGCGGCCAGCCCGCCUCUGCGGCCCAGCGGCGUGGCCCUGACGGACAUCAAGACCACCACCACGUCCAACAAGAGGGAGUCCAAGGACCGCAUCGACCUGAGCGCACUGUGCGGCGUGGUCAAGGACAAGACCAUCUCCACGGGCGACUACUACAGUGACCUGGAGAACGAAGCGCCCCCUGAAGAGUUUCUUGUCGACGAUGACGAUGACGACAUCGACCUGACGUCCACCACCAAGCAGACGACGAAGACGAGCAGCAAGCGUGAGCAGAACGAGGCGUUCCUGGAGGGCGAGCGGCGCGGGACGAGGCAGGAGUCCCGACUGGACAGCCUGACGCGCACCAACAGCGACAGGAACGUCGUCAAGAAGCAGCCCGCCCCCACGCCCAAGCGGCAGUCCUCGAAGCCUGAGCUGGUCACGGGCACCACGACGACGACCACCAGCACGAGCACGUCCAGGAUCUACGGUGGCACCGUGCUUGAGGUGUGCGGCGCCUGCCACCUGAAGCUGGGCGCCGAGAAGGAUACCGUCCAGUGCACGGCGGAGUGCAAGCGCAAGUUCCACGUGCGCUGCGUGGCGAGCGGUGAGGAGAUCAAGCUGAUCAAGCUCAAGAAGAACUGGCGCUGCGUGCGUUGUGGAGGCACCACAGAGCAGACCAAGAAGACCGUCGAGAAGGACAAUUCUCGCAGCAAGCUCACCGUCAAGGUGGACAAGGUGUCGGGGAAGCAGAACGCCACCAGCGAAAGGCGUGGCAGCAGCAGCACGACCACCACGACGGUGACGUCCUCCACCAACCAGACCUCCAUGACCAACGGGCACCACCGGCGCGAGGAGUCAUUCACUUCGGGCGACGAGACAGACGUGCCGAACGCGGACCAGACGGACACCCCCACCGGCGUGGACGCCUACAUGUGGGAGCUGGAGGACAUGCGUCGCCGGCAAGAGGAGCAGUACGCGCGCAAGGUGACGGACAAGGAGAACGUGCUCCUCAACGCCACCAUUCACGUGCAGCUGCCCAAGUCCUCGCGGGAGUCCUCUCCGGACGGGCGGCCCGGCGGGCGCGCCCCCUCCGUGUGCACGGCCGGUGAUGAGUCGGACAGCAGCCGGCCGCGCUACGCGGACCGCGUCAGCGAGCCGGGGUCGGACGAGGAGGGCCCCGGGCCGCGGCAGGGCUCCGUCAACAAGCUGCCCCAGCUGGACGAGCGCAGGUCCAGCGAGCAGCGGGAACUGGAGAACAACGAGGACGACGAGAACGACGUGGCGAACCUCAGUGUGUCGGACAAGGUGAAUCGCUUCAUGGAGAGCUCCCGCACGCUGUCCAUCUCGGAGCUGAAGACGCCGCACCGGCCGGCCCCGGCCACCGACAGCCCCGGCAACGUGAGCAAGGCGAAGGCCAUGUUCGAGACCAUCGCCAGCGGCCAGACCGUCACGGAGAAGCUCGAGACGCAGGAGGAGCACGAGUCGCAGCAGAGCGCGGACGCCACGACCAGGCAGAGGGACGUGCUGAGCCGCCCGUCGAUCUUCGAGGGCCGCAAGGUGCUGACGGAGACCACGGUGGAGACCACCACCACCACGGCCACCGCGCCAGUGCUGCCGCCAGGCGUCACCAUCGCCAAGGACACGAUCCCUAGGAAGCGCUCCCCGUCCCCCGAGCCACCUAGCUUCGCCCUUACCUUCAGCCCGAAGCCCGUCGCCGAGCCACAGCCCUCGGCUCCGCAGCCCGCACGCCUCAACGGCCACACGACACCCGUGCGUCAGGACUCGCUGCCGAAGGACAUCAAGACCGCCCCGAAGAAGCCAGACGCCAGCAGCCCCGCCCGCAGAGACUCUGUGCGCAGGGAGCUCUUCCCCGACACCAGCAAGAAGACGACCUCCACGACCAAGACGGCGACGUCCUUCUUAGACGGCGAGCGCCGCAGCUCCCUGCAGCAGCGGACGGACACGAGCUCUACCAUCAAAACGACAUCGUCGACCUCGUCCUCACGCACCGCGUCCCCUGUCAAGGACGUCGCGAGCAAGGCGUCGUCGCCAACCCGGUCCCCGGCCAGGUCACCGUCGCCGCAGCGCAGCCAGCCCAAGCAGAUCGACAUCCUGAGCAGACCGUCCAUUUUCCAAGGCCGUAAGAUGAUGGCCGCGGCCAAGGAUUCUACAACCUCCACGACCACCACCACGUCUAGCACGGCGACGACCCUCCCGGAGCAGCCCAAGAGCCCCACCAGGCCGAAGGCCUCCUCGCUGGACCGGCCCACGGAGAGCAGCCUGGCGCGCGGCACCAAGUUCGGCGUGCACCUCCGCAGCACCGCGACCACGGCCUCCACCGCGUCCACCACGACCAAGGCGGCGGAGCAACGCCGGGGCAGCGCCGUCUUCCUGGACGGCCAAGAGGUGGACAUCGAGGAGGUGUACGACCUCGAGUUCCUCGAGACCAUCUUGGAGCGAGUAGUGGGCUACGAGCAGCGCCGCCGCAUCCGCACCCAAAUUCGCAAGGCCAAGGAGCGGCUGGAGGGAACCGUGCAGGCGGAGCAGGUCCUGAGCAAGGACAAGCAGGUGAAGCAGGACGGCCGCACCACGUCCACCACGACGACCACCUCCAGCAAGUCGGGCAACACGGUCACGGAGAAGGUGACGACCACCACCACGACCAAGUCACCCACCAGCAAGGUCGUCACCACCCGGGUCACCACCACGUCCAGCACGACCAGCGGCACCAGGUCGCCGACCAAGGGUCUUUCCUCGACUUCGCCGACGCGGUCCUCCCCGUCACGGUCGUCCCCGGAACGGUCUCCGAGCCGCUCCCCUGAACGGUCCUCCACUAGAAAGUCUUCCACGUCGUCGACGUCCAAGGCCAGAGACACGACCGACUUCCGCCGCUCGUCCACGUCGUCUACCACCACCACCAGCAUGACGACCAAGACGAGCUCCAGCAGCAGCGCCGGCCGCACCAAGUCGCCGGCCUCGACGCCCGGGCGCCUGGCGGGCCGUGAGUCGGCCAGGGAGGCCUGCCCGACAGACUCCAUCACGUCGAGCUACGGCGUGGGCCCCACGGACGACAGGGGCAGGCCGCUGUUCGGCCUCAAGGCCCUGCGCCGCACCAACACGAACCGUACGCUGCAGGACGCCGAGCCCACCGCCGAGGCCCCGAAGCAGGCGACGACCGCCGCGUCGACGAGACCGCGCGCUGCGGACAUCACCGACUCCACCGGCCUGCCGCUCUUCGGCGGCCUGCGCGCGCUCAAGAUGAACAGCACCACGAGCUCCACCACCACGUCGAGCACGGUGGACCACCGGAACGGCCUGAACGGCCACGCCGGCCCCGCCUCGCCGCCGCUGCGUGACCUGGUGCAGCGCCACGAGGACCUUUCCCGAGAGUCGUUCCUCGACUCGCGGCGCGGCAUCCUGAAGAAGCCCAGGGAGGAGAGCACCUCCUCGUCGUACUCGCGCUCGACCGUCGUCAGCCAGCGGCAGGUCGUGGCCCCCGACGGCACCGUCUCUCUUACCAGGGACGUCAUCCGAGGCGAGACUGUCGCCAAGUCCGGGCAGGAGCCCGUCACCAACGUCUCCCGUGAACACUAUGCUUAUGAAUCUCCUGAACCGAGGACCCUGUCAAUCACCCAGCUUGACAGCGAGGAAGAGGAGGUUCGUGGAAGCAGGAGGAGUUCACCGUCGCCCGACCGCGUCCUCAUCGAGUCCGCUCAAAGCUCCAAGAGGUCAUCUCGAAACUUUGAAGAGGACAACAAAUUUAGCAGCUCCUACCGCAGAACGUCCGGCCAGGAUGAGUUCAUCCGGCAGGAGAAAGGCCACUCCGCCCAGGCGGCCCCCAACGGCGACGAGGCGGACAGCCGCGCUGCCGACAAGGUGGCCAGGCAGGGGUCCGGCCGAUGGUCCAACACGGUGACCAGCAAGAAGACUGAGGGCGGUGCCACCACCCACUCCACCACCACGACCACGAAGGAGCGCCGCGCGUCGGGCGGGGUCACGUCUGAGUCGACGUCCGUCUCCACCAAGAGCACUACCUCUAGCCACAGUUCAUCCCCCACACGAAAUGAGAAAUCUCCCAGCAGAGAUUCAGCGAAAAAGCAAACGAGUGAUAAAUGGUCUUCGGGCAGCACCACGGAAUCGAAAUCCUCGAAUCGGUUCUCGUCGCGCACUUCGACCUCUCGAACCAGUAGCUCUUCCAAUCUCGAACGACGACGGUCCUCUGCCGCUGAGGACGUGGCCGAAGAAGGGUCCAGCGCCUGCAGCUUGAUCAGGACCUCGCAGCGGGGCUCGGUGCGAGCUCUGCAGGAGAAGUUCCAGAAGGCAGCAGCCGAGAGCGCUGACAGCACCCGAUCAAACCGCUCUUACCCCAAGGCGGGGCUAAUCUUCCGCUCAGCCAGCUUCCGCUCAAACAGUGGAGAAGGCUCGGCGCCUGCCACCCCGACCUCGCCAAACCAGCCGAGUGCGCCGUCCACGCCGGAAGCGGGUCCGAACCCGACCCUCAAGCAGUCGGCCUCCAUGGAGGUGCGCGUCGGCUCCCCGGUGGCGUCGCCCCUGCCGUCCACGCCGGGCAGCACCGCCACCGAGUCCAGGUCCUUCCUCAACGACCGCACCGCCGUGACCGACGUCCAGGACGUCCUCACCAGGAUGCGCAACGCCGACAUUGUGGUGGAGAACGGGGACAGCGCGGAGGACCAAGCGGCCCGGUCGCUACUCAACAAGUUCCUAGGCGCGUCUGUGAUCCUGCAGGGCAUGGAGCCCCUCGUCGGCGACAAGCACACGGCCGCCUCGUCGACCUCCACCAGCAGCGCCCGGCGCACCAUCGUUGGCGGUGGCGGCACCACCUCGGCCGCGCUCGUCAGCCAGGUGGAGCGGCAGCGGCUUAGCGGCGCCAAGGUCAUCAACGGAGCGGCGAAGGACCCCAUCUCAGACUUGGACUCCAUCUGGGACGAAGGUCACUUACGGACUUUGGAAAGAGCGAGUCAUUUAAAAGUUCUACCUCAACUGACGCCAAUAGCACAACUCAUACAGAAGUGAGGACAAAGACGUCUCAUUUCAGCUCAACGAGCAGCAUGGCUACUAACAAAGGUGGACCCCCUAAGCCCAUCUCCCCAUUUGCCAAAUUCCAGCAGCUGGAUCGUCAGAAUUCAGCAGCUUCAGCUCCCAGGUAAU